UGGGGAAUAUUGCACAAUGGAGGGAACUCUGAUGCAGCGACGCCGCGUGAACGAAGAAGGCUCUCGAGUCGUAAAGUUCUUUUAUAUGGGAAGAUAAUGACGGUACCAUAAGAAAAAGCCCCGGCUAACUACGUGCCAGCAGCCGCGGUAAUACGUAGGGGGCUAGCGUUGUCCGGAAUCACUGGGCGUAAAGGGUUCGCAGGCGGAAAUGCAAGUCAGGUGUAAAAGGCAGUAGCUUAACUACUGUAAGCAUUUGAAACUGCAUAUCUUGAGAAGAGUAGAGGUAAGUGGAAUUUUUAGUGUAGCGGUGAAAUGCGUAGAUAUUAAAAAGAAUACCGGUGGCGAAGGCGACUUACUGGGCUCAUUCUGACGCUGAGGAACGAAAGCGUGGGUAGCAAACAGG
rnacentral:rRNA from 1 species